AGUGAACGCUGGCGGCGUGCCUAAUACAUGCAAGUCGAACGAAGUGGCGCACGGGUGAGUAAUAUAUAGUUAAUCUGCCCUACACAGAGGAACAACAGUUGGAAACGACUGCUAAUACCUCAUAGUGUAGGAUGAGACUAUAUCGUAUCAGCUAGUUGGUAAGGUAAUGGCUUACCAAGGCUAUGACGCGUAACUGGUCUGAGAGGAUGAUCAGUAGCAUUGGAACUGAGACACGGUCCGGGAUCCUACGGGAAGGAGCAGUAAGGAGUAUUACGCAAGGGGGGAAGCCCUGACGCAGCAUCGCCGCGUGGAGGAUGACACUUUUCGGAGCGUAAACUCCUUUUAUCAGGAAAGCGUUACCUGAAGAAUAAGCACCGGCUAACUCCGUGCCAGCAGCCGCGGUAAUAA
rnacentral:rRNA from 1 species